CAAAGAUAUAAAACUUUUAUGACAGAAAUGUCAAUACCACUAAACAGGACAGAAAAAAAAAGAAAUCAGGGCAGAAAAAAAUCAGAAAAUUUUAUUUUGCCGCAUGUACACAUCAAUAAAUAUCACAAUUUAUAACUUUUCCUCCACUAGAGGAAAAAGAAACUAAGUCUAAUCCUAACUCAUAAUAUUAAGAUUUUCAAACAGAAACCACGAGCGAUUUUUUAAUUUAAAUUAAACAAAGACGAUUUAAAAAAAGAAAAAAGAAGGAAAAAAAAAAGAAUUACUCGAAGACCCGACAGCUAAUGACGUCAGAGAAUAAGCCUGAGCUGGAUUCUGCACAGUGCUCCACAGUUUCUGCGCUCCCCUGCGCCUCCACUCGCUUCUCUGUGUUUACAUACGGAAUCACAUACCCCGGCGAGCUUUUGUGGCGACCUUUCUCACCGCCGCUGGCCGGCCCGAGCACGCCUGGAGCUGCAUUGCCUCCCGGGAACUCCUGCUGAAACGGUGAGAGUGUGCGAAGCGCAGCAGAGGUUAGAGUAGCAGAUCCAGGGGGUACAAGAAAAACCGGUGCGCAUUUACACGCUUCAUCUCAUCACCAAGUCCUCAUUAGGUUGUUAACCUCUUGUUCACAAGAAAAAAAAGCUGCCGCUCCGCUCAAGCCUCUCACCCGAGCUCAGGCAUCCCCCUCGAGGCACAGCACACAGCCAUUAAAACUGCGCAAAAUAAGCCUUUACAAUGGAUAACAGUUAAAGAGCGUGCAAGUUCUCUUUUCCCAUAUUUUAUUCAAAGUUUAAAAAACACAUUCAAGAAAUGAGCAGAUCAUUUGCUCUUCUCAAUGUUUUUUUUUUUUUUUUCAAUUACAUUAUAAUAAUCGGGCCUAUGUGAUGUAAACAGCAUGAUCUAAAAGAUUUACUUUAAACACCUACUGACCAGCUUAAACGCAGCACUGCACAUUUCAGUGCUCUGUACAGUUGUAGAGUCUUGAGUGAUCCUAUGAUGGCAUUUUGAAAGCUUACUAAAUUAGCAGCAAGAAAGCUGCGCGCCCGCGUGCGCGCGUUUCAGGUACCAGCCAAUUAAAACUGUCCAGUCCUCCACAUCUGCCUCCCAUUACAAAGCGAACCGAACAGAAAAGAAGGAGCCCGGUGAAAGAACGCUCAUUGAGAUCACAGAUGGACUAUAGGUUUUUGCUAGAAAUUUGAGAAACACCAUUGUCCUCAAAUCCAAACUCAAUGUGUUCCUGCACAAUGGCUGCGGCUUUGAGCUCUGCCGACUCAAUUGCCCUUGUUUUUUAAACUUGAAGUGUUCAGCACAAAGACUGGCCUCCUAAAUGUCACAACCGCUCCGAGUGGGGCUCCGCUGCGCGAUUCGCUCAAAAAAGGGAAAAGAACACAAUUAUGAAGCAAUAAUUACUCUGCAUCAGUUCGCACGCCACUGCGUCCAUUCAAACCUCUUUAGCCCUAUUUAAUGCUUUAUCCACGCCGCCAUAAUCCGAAUACCACAGCUUGAUUUUUUUCCCCCUUUCCUUCCGUAGAAUUUUCUCCUGAGAUGAGAUUGGGAAAGGGAACUGCGAGAAACUGCAAGAACUAAAGUUUCAACAGCUAUCAUUUCAAAGCAUAUGUUUAGUAGAUUAUAUAAAGACGUCAUCCAAAGGUAAAAACACAACCUGUCAGUGAAAUGAUCCAAAGGGCCGAAUAAUAAUAAGCUAUAAUAAUAAUAAUAACAAACCCGCUUGACGUCACAGUGUAUUAGGUUCACACUAAAAGAUUUGUUAUUCAUUGAUUUCAGUAUUGUUUAUUUUACGUGCAUGUAUUAUGUUAUAGAUUCAUACCGGUUUUUUUGUUUUGUUUUGUUUUUAAAUCUGGUACUUUUUUUUUAAAGGAAUAUCUCAGAAAAUGUUAACACACCGAAAAAGUAUUGUACCCCAUUAUUGAAAUUAUACCUCUUAAUUAAUUAAUAAUGAACCACGUUUUUCUGGUUUCAGGUGGACUCACGAACAAAAUGUGACUUGAGUCGUUUGUAUAAAACACUAACUUUUUUUUAUUUCAUGAGAUGUCGGUCUGGCUAUCUGAUUAACUGAAUCAGGCGUGCUAAAUUAGGCGUUAAGAUAGUAAAUAGAAGAGACUUAAGUGAAUAAAACUGCUAUUAAGUUAGGGCGUUUUUAUAUGAUGAUACACAAGAAAUAAAUAGCCUAUUUAAAAAAAAUUUGU